rnacentral:rRNA from 1 species
GAUUUCUGGUACUGUGGGGCUUGUCCGGGCCUUCGGGUUUCGUGUACAAGUUUCUACUUACCAUCCUUCCAGAUAAUGCCUGUGCCGUCAAAAGUGCAGUCACAUCUGGAUCUUUUACUUUGAAAAAAUUAGAGUGUUUAAAGCAGGCUUACGCUAUGAAUACAUUAGCAUGGAAUAAUGAUUUAGGACUUUUGUCCUUUUGUUGGUUUUCUAGGAUGAAAGUAAUGAUUGAUAGGGAUAGUUGGGGGUGCUAGUAUUUCGUCAACAGAGGUGAAAUUCUUGGACCGACGAAAGACUAACUUAUGCGAAAGCAUU